rnacentral:rRNA from 1 species
UACGUAGGGGGCGAGCGUUGUCCGGAUUUAUUGGGCGUAAAGCGCGCGCAGGCGGUUCGUUAAGUCCGUUGUGAAAGCUCCCGGCUCAACUGGGAGAGGUCUUCGGAUACUGGCGAACUCGAGGGAGGCAGAGGAAGGUGGAAUUCCGGGUGUAGUGGUGAAAUGCGUAGAGAUCCGGAGGAACACCAGUGGCGAAGGCGGCCUUCUGGGCCUUUCCUGACGCUGAGGCGCGAAAGCCAGGGGAGCAAACGGG